rnacentral:rRNA from 1 species
AACGAACGCUGGCGGCAUGCCUAACACAUGCAAGUCGAACGAGCCCUUCAGGUCUAGUGGUGCACGGGUGUGUAACCCGUGGGGAUCUUACCUCAGGUUCGACCUAACUCAGAGAAAGUUAAACUAUUACCGGAUGGUGACUUAUGCCCAAGGAUUUAUCGCCUGAGGAUGAUCCAGCUUAGGAUUCGGUAGUUCGUGAGGUAAAGGCUCACCAAGCCGACCAUCCUUAGCUGGUUUGAGAGGAUGAUCAGCCACACUGGGACUGAGACACGGCCCAGACUCCUACGGGAGGCAGCAGUGGGGAAUAUUGGACAAUGGGCGAAAGCCUGAUCCAGCAAUGACGCGUGAGUGAUGAAGGCCUUAGGGUUGUAAAGCUCAUUUACCCGGGAUGAUAAUGACAGUACCGGGAGAGUAAGCUCCGGCUAACUCCGUG